AGAGUUUGAUCAUGGCUCAGAAUGAACGUUGGCGGCGUGGAUUAGGCAUGCAAGUCGCGCGACAAGGUUUCUAUAGCAAUAUAGCGACUGGAGGAGCGGCGAAAGGGUGAGGAACACGUGGAUACCUACCCUCAGGCUCGGGAUAGCGGCUGGAAACGGCCGGUAAUACCGAAUAACAUCUCCGGAUCAAAGCUCCGGCACCUGAGGACGGGUCCGCGUCCCAUUAGCUAGUUGGCGGGGUAAUAGCCCACCAAGGCAAAGAUGGGUAGUGGGCGUGAGAGCGCGACCCACCACACUGGGACUGAGACACUGCCCAGACACCUACGGGUGGCUGCAGUCGAGGAUCUUCGGCAAUGGGCGAAAGCCUGACCGAGCGACGCCGCGUGGAGGAUGAAGGCCUUCGGGUUGUAAACUCCUGUCGGAGGGGAAGAAAUUUUGACUAACCCCUCGGAGGAAGCCCGGGCUAAGUUCGUGCCAGCAGCCGCGGUAACACGAACCGGGCAAACGUUAUUCGGAAUUACUGGGCUUAAAGGGUGCGUAGGCUGCGCUAUAAGUCGGGUGUGAAAUCCCUCAGCUCAACUGAGGAACUGCGCCCGAUACUGUAGUGCUUGAGGAGGAUAGAGGUGAGCGGAACUAGCAGUGGAGCGGUGAAAUGCGUUGAUAUUGCUGGGAACACCCGUGGCGAAAGCGGCUCACUGGGUCCUUUCUGACGCUGAGGCACGAAAGCUAGGGGAGCGAACGGGAUUAGAUACCCCGGUAGUCCUAGCCGUAAACGAUGAGCACUAGAUCGGGGAGACCUCCACAUCUUCUCGAUCGUAGCGAAAGUGUUAAGUGCUCCGCCU
rnacentral:rRNA from 1 species